GAGGUCGUGUGUUUGGAUGAUCAAAGUUCCAUCUCAGAUGAAGACCCUGUAACUAAAGUGGGUGGUGAUGAAAGUUGCAGUUUAGAUGAACUUCCUGAAACCCUCAUAGGACAAAAUGUUGCAGAACAGUGUAUCUUCCACGUGUUCCAUAUGUGGAAGAGGCUUUAAUUACA